GUGCGGCACCAUCGUACGCAUCUUAUUCCCGUCCGAGAACACGCGCGCGCAUGCAAGGCACCACGGCAACCCCGUGCGUCGACCUCUGCCCGUCCCUCUCCCUCUCGCACAUUUGAUGUGAGGAGACAAAAUCCACAGACAAGAAAAGAAGCGCGGCUUGCGCGAUAAACUGCAACGGGUGCGUCGCGCGCUGUCCCUCGCCCCCACCGAUCAUAGCUGGUCUUGCUUUCCCUGUUCCUGUGCGCCUUGGCUGUUGGCCGAGUGCGUCUCUAGCACCCCGUUUUUGAUUCUGUGCACGGCCGAACGUUGUGAGCUGCGGCGCCUCUCUGCUGGAGUGACUCACAUGGCCGCUGAUUUUGUUCCGCGGCCACUCGACUCAUUUCAUUGUCCUUGUCGCGCUGCCCCGGCCUUGACAUCUUUCCCUUCGCUUGUUCUCGGGUCGCCGGCUCCAUUGGUUGACUCUAUCCUGUGCGCGUGAGUGUGUCGGCGCGUUGGUGCGCAUUGCUGUUUUUCUUCGGCACCCUCAUCCCCCGCGUGUGCAGAACCCCGCCGCCACACAGCUUCCUCCACGCUCCUCCCUCUCCUCUUCCUCAUACCCAGAGACGGAGAGCGAGACGCGGACGAGCGGCAGCCCAGCAUUGUGUGUGUGUGUGCGUGUGCGUGUGUGGGGGGGGGGAGGUGUGAUCGAAGGUGCGCCAGCCCGACCGCGGCGCCCUCACUUUUGCGCACCUGCCCCGGAGAGAGCGACGAGCGAGCGAGAAAGACAGGCUCGCGAGGCAAAGCCAGUUGCUUUGCCUCGCUGCCCCCCUCCGCCCCAUACACGCCGACGACACACACGGAUCAACCAUUCGAAGCAAGUGCCCAGACACGAACGAUACGCGCAGUAAAGGUCGCGGAUGGACUUCAUGCCUGCGGAGCACACGACUCCGCCGUCCUCGGCGCCACGGUUACCGGGUGGUGCCAGGAGUGGCCUCACUCCAGCCUACCUCGGGGCCUUGCGCGGCGUUUCCUCGCCACCGCCGCAGCGGCCGCGUCUUUUUGCGCGCGCGAGUGUCGGACGCGGGUCGCCUCCGCCGCCGGCUCGGUUGGCGGCGAUCUCGUUGUCAACGCCAUGCGUGCCGCUGCCCAAGCGAUCCCCUUCGGAGAGCGUACCCCGCAGCUCUGUAUGUGAUAGCUUCAAUCGCGAAGAGCGCGGUCUGCCCGGCGCGUGGUCGAUUGCGUGUGGCAAACCCGCUGGCGCACGUCCGCCGUUGGCUGUGUCGCUCUCUGCCUAUGAAGGCUUGUUGCCGCGCGUGGGUGAUGGGAUUUUCGGCACCUGCGUGGCCGACCUCAACUCGGCACCGUCGUCCGCUCGCGUAGAGCCACUGCUCAGUUGCAAAAUGGGCCCCGCUGGCGCGCUACACACACACGCGGCGAACGGCUACAAUAGUGUGGCCAGUGAGGGGACGGCGGCGGACGACAGCAUCAGCUCCGCUGCCGGCGUCACAGAGUUGUUGAGUGCCGCGGAAAGCACCGCCGCGGUGCCGCUCAUGCACAGUAUUGGGAGAACCAAGCGCCACCGCAUGGCCAGCUCCGCCGACACGCAGCACAGCUUGGCAAGCAGCACGCUGCCGCCCCCGCGUUGCCAUCGUACUUCCGGCCAUGGCAGCGUCGACGCGGAGUCGGCUCCUCAGCGUGAUGUCUGCUUCGGCGCGUCCAUGACGGGCGCUCUGCCGUCCUCGGAGGGACUUUACCUGUCCGAUGGCCACGACGAGGAUGCGGAUGGCGCGCCGAGGCGCUGCGGUAGCGGCAGCAAUAGCAGCCGUGGCGAAGUUAGCUACCGCGCAUCGUCGAUUCGCGCCAGUGUCGCGGGCGUGCCUGGGAAGCUCGACAUGAUCACGCCACAGGCAGGCCAGCGCGCGUUUGACGACUCCGCGGCGGGUGCGCAGUGCCUAGUCAUCGAGGACAGCGUUGACACGGACGCGGUGGUCACACCUGCCCAGCUGCAGCAGAUGAAGGCCGAGGCAGCCGGAGGUGGCGUGCAUCGGCGCACCUCGGACGAGCUAUCGACGCUCUAUGAGAGUCGGCUCGUCACCGCUGACGUGCUGCGCGACUGGACGGGCUGGGAGGAUCUUGACCUGGUGCUUACCGCGCAACUCCGUGUGGAUGCGGACGCCAUGAUCGGCGUUGACCAGAUUGGGGCACAGUUGUCGUCGCUUUCAUCGCUGAAGCUCAACGGCUCACGCAUUUGCCGUGUACGCCAGCUCGGCACCGGCUUCCACGCGUUGAAGUAUCUGUGGCUGAACAGUUGCCACGUCACGGAUUUGUGCGGCAUCGCGGCGUGCUGCCCCUCACUGGUGGAGCUUUAUGUCCCCUUCAACCGCGUGCGCGAUGCCACUCCGGUAAUGGCGCUGUCCGCGACGCUAGAAGUUCUGGACGUGGAGGGCAAUCUGCUCGACGACGCAACAGACCUUGGCGCUGUCCUCGCUUCCUUGCGUGGGGUGCGUGCGCUGUCCAUACUUGGGAAUCCGCUCACGUGCGAGUACCAAGCGCGUGUGCGAGACGCAUAUCGGGAUUUGCUCGUCGAGGGGGGACGCAGGGCGUGCGCGAAUACGGCGGCGUCUGGCGACGUGCUCUCCCCAGUGCCGCCGCCGAGUGAGUACAAGCCCUUCUCGCACGUUCUUGCAGCCUGGGUGCGUCUGCUUAUGCCGCAGCUGGAGACGCUCAAUGAUGCUGCCAUCGACGUCUCCAUCACCAGCUCCUGCGCCUCGUUCCCUCUGCACGGUUCAUCGUCAGAGGAGGCGAGCCGACGGCUCGCAAUGCCGGUUUCGACUCACGUGGACCCGCUGGAUGACGCCUUGGCCGAGGAGCUUCGACUGGUAGAGGAGUGCGUGCGGGACGCCGACGCUUUCGACGCUCUUCUCGCUGCCCUCGAUGAGGCGAACCGGCACGUCUACACGCGCCCCUCCACCUCGUGCAGUGGUGCGCAGCCGCGUCUUGCCCCGAGGACCGCCAUGGGGGCUGCUCGCCCCUUCACCUCACGGUGGUCUAGGGCACCCGUCCGACUCGGUUCUUGUGGAGGCUCGACGACUGACGCAUCAGUGCUCACGACAGGGGCGGUACUAGCUGGCAAUGCGACCGCGAGCCUGAGACGCCGACUAGCGGCGUCGUCAAUGUCAUUCAACGACGCAGCGCAGGACGACCCGUCUGCCACCAACGGCUCUGCUGCCGACCCCGCUGGAUGCAAAGGCACGAGUGUGCAACGGAGUGGCAUCUGUGAAAAGGACUCAGGGUACUGUGCCUCUGUGACUGCCACCUCCGCCAUCGACCUGGAUGAGGAUGCUCGCAUCGCCGCGCUGCUGGCCGAUGACAGCGAAGAAGAGGAGUGGGAACACUUCAAGGCGUCGCUGCUUCGGUCGAAAUCCACGUCGGCAGCGUCCAUGCCGAGACUGGGCGACCCCAUGAGCACAUCAGCGGCGGCAGCGGCCUCCUACCAUCAGCUUCUCUACACACAGAACGAAGAAGCUGCCGCGACGGCAAGCACGGUGCAGGCUGACGGCUUCGAAAAGGAGCUACGCACGGAGCUGACGCGUCUACGGAUGCGGAUAGCGAAGGAGAGUCGAGAAUAAGGCCAUGCUGCAGACCAUUCGUUUUCUUUGUAUUAUCACUUCAGAGCCUGUGUAUGCCCGCCCCCCCCUCCCCCUCCUCCUCCGCCUGGGACUGUCUUUACUGUUAGGAACAACGGCGGGUACGCCGUCAGUCCAGUUGGAUCCUUCACCGAUGUCCUCGCUCCGUCUUUUUUUGUUUGCGUUUCUGCCGUCGUCCCCGUGUGUGUGUGUGUGCUUACGUUGGCUCUUCCCCCUUCUUUGUUUUGUCUGCCCAUUGUCGUUGUGCUUGAACGCAUCUCCCCCUCCUUGUUUUGGCUUUGCACGACGUUGAACAAAUGGAACCAUCUUCCUCUCCAUCUUGCCCGUGAUGAGAUGCUCAUGUACAUACAGAGAGCGAACCGUGUGGCCCCCUCCCCCCACCCCACCUCCACACAAGAGAGAACUCACAGAAGCUUUUGUAUUCUUAUUGGAAGUCCUUUCUUCUUUUCUUUGGACCCACCCCCCUUCUCCUCUCCCCCUCCACCUUUUCUUAUGCCCUGUUGGGCAGCAACAUCAAUGCACAUACACACAUGCACACGCAAAAAAGUUUUCGUGUUUCUCGACGUUGAACCGACUUUCUCUCUUGUUUUUUUUUUCGGCCUCCCCUCCUCCCCCUCUUUCUGUGAUCAUCAUCUUCGCUCUUUAGACACGUUGUUGCUGCUGUUGUUGUUGCGUGCUGUGUGUCGUGCGUGGCGCUUCUUUCCUUUUUGUCUGUGUGUCUUGGCCGCCCUUCCCUCUCGCCCCUUCGUGGUCCGAAAUAUUUCCUUUCCCUACCGUGCAAGUAUGCGUGUGCGUUUUCAAAAGAGGCGAGUUGGCUGUCCGACGACACUGCGAGCUACCGUAGCGUCUCCGCCAUACACUCCACCCCACGCCCUACUCUCCCGCUCUUGCUCUCGUUCGGGGAUUUUUCUUCGUCCCUCAGUGGCUACACCUGCACACUGGAAGGGGACGUCCGUGACAUCUCCCUCCAUCCCCAUUGCAAUGCUGCAUGCUUAUCCUUCCGCGCACGCAGCGGCUUCUCUCUAUGUAGAGGAGCAGCUGUUUAGCGCCGCAUCAAUGGCCCCGUCAUACCCCUCCCAAGCGCGGUUCAUGGCAAUGCCGACGGGAAAGGGAGGAGAGGGAGCGCAAGGACCACCGGCUUCUCCUUCGACGAGCGCGCGCACACAUACAUGCACACCUACACAUCUAUCUAGACUGGUGUUUCGGGCCCCAGUUCCGCUAUAAACAUGUUAUUUUGCCGCAGCACUUUCGCUUCACCGACCUCUUUAUGUGUUUUGAAGUCUUUGUUAGCCUUGCCUUUACUUCAUUUUGCUUUUCCGUUUCGUGUGCGUGAGUUGGAUCACCCUUUCCCGAUGCUGCUGCGACUGCUCCGGCCACCUUCCUGUGGCUCUCGUAUCUCGUUGUAUUGCUUUAGAAAGUGUUGCGGGUGCUCCGUCGUCUGAGACGUGACGUGCUGCUAUCUUGUUUGGUAAGGGUGACCUCGCGAUGCCGGUUUUUUUUUUCCAUUUCCCGUGUUGGCGCGUGCGCACAGCUAUUCAUUCUAUAAUGGCAGACGGUUUGGACUUCCACGCACACUAUCGCUAGUCCCACUGGCUGAGUAAGGCUCGGUGACGAGUUCUCGAGUACAGACGAGUUGAGGCGUGACAUGCGUGCCUUCUCUGCUGCUCAAUCGUGCCCGCAUCUCCUGUUCUCUUGCCCUCUCUCGUUCCUUUUUUUUCUUGCACAUUGCUCCAGCUCUGCUUCCUCCAUUCGGAUAGGCAACGCGUGUGGCAGUGCUCCCAUCGGGGGAUGGGGCCGGGGACGAAGGCGAGCGGGAGGCAGAGGAGACGGCGAAAGGGCGAGCGAGAAAGUCUUCUACGUGCGCAUCUAGGGUGCGCGCCCGCCUCUUACUCCACCCGUCGCCGCCUCUUUCUCUUCCAUCACCGCCUCGCCACCCUCCACCACUCCCUUCUGUCUUUCUCUUUCCAGUAGUUGGGUUGAUCUCCAAGUCCCUCUCUACCAAUGUCUCCAACCCGUCCUUUCCCCAUUUUUUUUCUCGAGAUCUCCAAGUUACGCUAUGUGUGUGUGUAGAGUCUGUGGCACCUUCGCUUCCUGUAUCGUGCCUCUCGACCCUCUCUCUUUCCUUCCUCCUCGGCCUCUGAGUGUAUGUGCUUCUUCUUUUAGGGUGUAGGUUGUUUGUACAUGUGUAUGGCAUGUCUUUGUAUGCCUGUGUCUGCAUGUGUGUGUAUUGUGUGCCAUCCCGUGCGCGUGUGUAUGGGUGUGCCGGAUAGUGGCUGAGCCUCUCUCUCGUCCUUCUUUCCGAAUGCCCUUCAUGCUAUCAUGGGCCCCUCUCUGUGUUUUCGAUCCCCGACUAGCCUCUCUCUCCCCUCUCCACGUCUUCUGUUGUCGCUGCAUGCGCAUGUGUGCGCGUGUUGGCCGCCACUGGCGUGGUGCUGCACGAUUCGGUGCGAGUGCCGUUCCUGCCAACACGCACGCACAUGCACGCAUCCUUUUAUACACGCGCCCCUUUUUGUACUGGCCUGUUCAUGCCUGCCUUCACCCCUCCCUCCCUCCUCAUGCUUGUUUGCCCGGACGGCAUCUGGAAACGCCUCAGUGGGCGGUGCCCAGGGUCCGCGGCCCACUCUGUGUGGGGAAGCCGGACAGCCCCUCUCCCCUCUUAUCCCUCCCAGCGCCGAGCCACACCUGGCGGUGGCGGGACCAAGCACCGAAGGCUUUGUGGAUUCAGUGCGGUGCGUCGCUACUGCCGUCGGCGGCGAGGUCGCGGACGGCGUUGCGUCGGAGCGGACUGCGACCGUGCACGCGCUUGUGCCAUGGACAUGCUAGUCAGCGUGUGAAGGUGGCUCGGACGUAUGGCGCCCGCGGCCCUGACUGGGUAGUUGUGGGGAGCCUGCGCCACCCGGAGGGAUGCACGAGGCGGUGACCCGCCUAAUGGGAGGCGGCUGUGGGGCGGCCUGCGGAGCCGGUGGGGGUGGGGGGCCGGGUGUGUGUAUGGGGGAUUAGGUUGGUGUUGUAUGGCAGUACAAUAGACAGACGUUGGAAAAGAAAACCACGGUCGAGUCCCUGCGCCUUCUCGUUCCUCUUGUGUUUCUCUUGAGCGAGUGUAUGUUUUUUUUCGUCGUCACGAUGCCAUCAGUGUAUCAUGUUUCGCACCAUGACCACCCGCUCCUCUUGCCCGUCUCAUUCGGUGUGCCGGUAUUGCUCGGCGUCAGCGCACGCCUGUGAGGGAAGUCCACCACAUAUGAUACUCCAAUCCAGGGCAGGGUGUGCUUGUAGUUUCAAGCUGGCCAGAAGGAAAAAGGGAGGGAUAUCAUGAUUGUGUAUCGACAGCGGAGGAGGAGCCCCUUGCCCGUUUAUAAGGCAAAGUCCACACGAGAAGAGAGCGCUGCCUCGCCGUCGAGCAUGCCGCACGACGCCCGCUGUCGUGUCGUUGUUGCCCCGCCUCGUACAAGCA
rnacentral:misc_RNA from 1 species